rnacentral:rRNA from 1 species
AUUGAACGCUGGCGGCAGGCCUAACACAUGCAAGUCGAGCGGAUGAAGGGAGCUUGCUCCUGGAUUCAGCGGCGGACGGGUGAGUAAUGCCUAGGAAUCUGCCUGGUAGUGGGGGAUAACGUCCGGAAACGGGCGCUAAUACCGCAUACGUCCUGAGGGAGAAAGUGGGGGAUCUUCGGACCUCACGCUAUCAGAUGAGCCUAGGUCGGAUUAGCUAGUUGGUGGGGUAAAGGCCUACCAAGGCGACGAUCCGUAACUGGUCUGAGAGGAUGAUCAGUCACACUGGAACUGAGACACGGUCCAGGCUCCUACGGGAGGCAGCAGUGGGGAAUAUUGGACAGUGGGCGGAAGCCUGAUCCAGCCAUGCCGCGUGUGUGAAGAAGGUCUUCGGAUUGUAAAGCACUUUAAGUUGGGAGGAAGGGCAGUAAGUUAAUACCUUGCUGUUUUGACGUUACCAACAGAAUAAGCACCGGCUAACUUCGUG